CAGAAACUCUUUGGCUCUUCGAUCUUCACUCGUCUUAGCUAUUUGGUCUUAGGUCUUAACUCUUCUAGGAUCUUCCAUUAGACAACUGAAAACCAAUACGAUGCUCCAGAAGAAGGUUUUUCAGUAAACCAACCAUCGUUCAGGAUCAGCCCCAAGAUGGAUUUCUUGCAGAUCAAGAUCAAUUUCAGAAGAAAACACAGGCAAACUAUUUUCAACCUCUUUUAAAUGGAUUGUGAAAAAGGAGUGGCAAGAAACAUGUACCAUCACAUAAUAAAGCCACUUUAAACCCA